AACUUUUAGCAACGGAUCUCUUGGCUCUCGCAUCGAUGAAGAACGCAGCGAAAUGCGAUAAGUAAUGUGAAUUGCAGAAUUCAGUGAAUCAUCGAACCUUUGAACGCACCUUGCGCCCCUUGGUUAUUCCUUGGGGCAUGCCUGUUUGAGUAUCAUGAACACCUCAACUCUCACGGUCUUCCGUGACGAGCUUGGACUUUGGGGGUUUGCUGGCCCUGCGGCCGGCUCCUCUCAAACGAAUCAGCUUGCCAGUGUUUGGCGGCAUCUCACGGGUGUGAUAACUAUCUCCGCUCGUCGCUGUCUGCCAGGUAACCCUCAGCGAUGAAGGUUCAUUGGGGCUCAUAAACGUCUCUCCUUGGCGAGGACAGCUUUUGAACGUUCGAUCUCAAAUCAGGUAGGACUACCCGCUGAACUUAAGCAUAUCAAUAAGCGGAGGCU
rnacentral:misc_RNA from 1 species